rnacentral:sRNA from 1 species
GCAUAGCCGCGAUGGAAGCAAGUAUCCUUUAUUGCCAGACCCAAAAUUUUGGGGCGGCAAUAAAGAUACUGCGUACAGCGGGACUAAAU